rnacentral:lncRNA from 1 species
GCCUUCGAUAUAGAUUUUGAGCAUAAAAGUAACACAACGCAAAGUAUCGAGUUUUAUUCGUUUAUUACAAUACAUUUUGGUGCCGUGACGCCAUGGAAAGUAAACUGAAAGCGGUGAGAGCAGGCCAUAAAAGUGCUGUAACAAGACUUUUGAGAAAAACGGAAGAAGAGCAGGAUUUGGAGAUAGAAGAAAGUACAGAAUUAUUAGAAACACUUUCGCAAAAACAGAAGAUUAUUAGUGCUUUGAAUGAAGAAAUUCUUAAUUUAACAAAGGAUGAGGAUGUUGAGGAUGAAAUUCUACAGACAGAUGAGUAUAAAUUCUUUC